rnacentral:rRNA from 1 species
GCUUACGGCCAUACCAGCCUGAAAGCGCCCGAUCUCGUCAGAUCUCGGAAGCUAUGCAAGGUCGGGCCUGGUUAGUACUUGGAUGGGAGACUUCCUGGGAAUACCAGGUGCUGUAAGCA